AACUCAGGAGAGCCUCUUCAAAAAAAUCUAGGGAAGAGCGCCGAAGGUGUACGCAGCAGGAAUGCUGUCAAUCUCUCAGGCAAAAGGAUGGAGGAA
rnacentral:ncRNA from 1 species